GACGAACGCUGGCGGCGUGCUUAACACAUGCAAGUCGAACGGCAAGGCCCUGCUUUCGUGGGGUGCUCGAGUGGCGAACGGGUGAGUAACACGUGAGUAACCUGCCCUUGACUUUGGGAUAACUUAAGGAAACUGGGGCUACUACCGGAUCGGAGCUCCUGCUGCAUGGUGGGGGUUGGAAAGUUUCGGCGGUUGGGGAUGGACUCGCGGCUUAUCAGCUUGUUGGUGGGGUAGUGGCUUACCAAGGCUUUGACGGGUAGCCGGCCUGUGAGGGUGACCGGCCACAUUGGGACUGAGGUACGGCCCAGACUCCUACGGGAGGCAGCAGUGGGGAAUAUUACACAAUGGGCGGAAGCCUGAUGCAGCAACGCCGCGUGCGGGAUGACGGCCUUCGGGUUGUAAACCGCUGUCGCCUGUGACGAAGCGUGAGUGACGGUAAUGGGUAAAGAAGCACCGGCUAACUACGUG
rnacentral:rRNA from 1 species